AAACCAACAGGGAUUGCCCUAGUAACGGCGAGUGAAGCGGCAACAGCUCAAAUUUGAAAUCUGGCCUUUCAGGUCCGAGUUGUAAUUUGUAGAGGAUGCUUCGGCGUUGGACCCGACCUAAGUUCCUUGGAACAGGACGUCACAGAGGGUGAGAAUCCCGUACGUGGCCGGUGUCCCUCGCCAUGUGAAGCUCCUUCGACGAGUCGAGUUGUUUGGGAAUGCAGCUCUAAAUGGGAGGUAAAUUUCUUCUAAAGCUAAAUACUGGCCAGAGACCGAUAGCGCACAAGUAGAGUGAUCGAAAGAUGAAAAGCACUUUGGAAAGAGAGUUAAAAAGUACGUGAAAUUGUUGAAAGGGAAGCGCUUGCAACCAGACCUGCCCGCGGUCGCUCAUCCAGGCUUCUGCCUGGUGCACUCUUCCGCGGUCAGGCCAGCAUCGGUUUGGGCGGUCGGACAAAGGCGGCGGGAAUGUGGCUCCCCUCGGGGAGUGUUAUAGCCCGCCGUGCAAUGCGGCCAGUCCGGACCGAGGUCCGCGCUUUGGCUAGGAUGCUGGCGUAAUGGUUGUAAGCGGC
rnacentral:rRNA from 1 species